AGAGUUUGAUCAUGGCUCAGGAUGAACGCUAGCGGCAAGCUUAACACAUGCAAGUCGAGGGGUAACAGGGCUUCGGCCGCUGACGACCGGCAAACGGGUGCGGAACACGUACGCAACAUACCUCUAUCUGGGGCAUAGCCUUCUGAAAAGGAGAUUAACACCCCAUAGUAUCUUUGGUUGGCAUCAAUCUGGAGAUUAAAAAUUUAUUGGAUAGAGAUUGGCGUGCGUCCUAUUAGCUAGUUGGCGGGGUAAAGGCCCACCAAGGCGACGAUAGGUAGCUGAUGUGAGAGCAUGAUCAGCCACACGGGCACUGAGACACGGGCCCGACUCCUACGGGAGGCAGCAGUGAGGAAUAUUGGUCAAUGGACGCAAGUCUGAACCAGCCAUGCCGCGUGAAGGAUGAAGGCGUUCUGCGUUGUAAACUUCUUUUAUUGGGGAAGAAACCUCUUUAUUCUUAGAGAGCCGACGGUACCCAAGGAAUAAGCACCGGCUAACUCCGUGCCAGCAGCCGCGGUAAUACGGAGGGUGCAAGCGUUAUCCGGAUUUACUGGGUUUAAAGGGUGUGUAGGCGGACUAUUAAGUCAGUGGUGAAAUCCCGAGGCUCAACCUCGGAACUGCCUUUGAUACUAUUAGUCUUGAAUGUUGUUGAGGUGGGCGGAACGGGUCAUGUAGCGGUGAAAUGCAUAGAUAUGACCCGGAACACCGAUUGCGAAGGCAGCCCGCUAAGCAACUAUUGACGCUGAGGCACGAAAGCGUGGGGAUCAAACAGGAUUAGAUACCCUAGUAGUCC
rnacentral:rRNA from 1 species